rnacentral:tRNA from 1 species
UGCAGCGUAGCUCAGUGGUAGAGCACUUGCCUAGCAUGCACGAGGCUCUGGAUUCAACCCCUAGCUCCACAA